UGGGGAAUAUUGGACAAUGGGCGCAAGCCUGAUCCAGCCAUGCCGCGUGAGGGAUGAAGGCCCUAGGGUUGUAAAGCUCUUUCACCGGUGAAGAUAAUGACGGUAACCGGAGAAGAAGACCCGGCUAACUUCGUGCCAGCAGCCGCGGUAAUACGAAGGGGGCUAGCGUUGUUCGGAUUUACUGGGCGUAAAGCGCACGUAGGCGGACUUUUAAGUCAGGGGUGAAAUCCCGGGGCUCAACCCCGGAACUGCCUUUGGUACUGGAAGUCUUGAGUAUGGUAGGGGUGAGUGGAAUUCCGGGUGUACAUGUGAAAUUCUUAGAUAUUCGGAGGAACACCGGUGGCGAAGGCGGCGCACUGGACCAUUACUGACGCUGAGGUGCGAAAGCGUGGGGAGCAAACAGG
rnacentral:rRNA from 1 species